rnacentral:lncRNA from 13 species
AAGCGCCUCGUGCGCAUGUCGAAACGUCGCGGUGGCGGUGGCCGCGUCGCGUCCCUGAUCGAGAGUCUCGAGAGAUCGUGUCUCGCUUUACGGAAGUGCAGGUAAUGCUGUAUCUUGGUGUAUACGUCUGGGUAGCCCGGUCUGGCGCAACCGGAUCCGAAAGAUGUGACGCCGACUAGCUGCCAAACGCCAUCAGUACGACGACACUGCAGAGGUCCUCCGGAGUCACCCUGAAGAUUAUGAUUGAUAAAAAAUUCAGAUAAAGAGGAACAUCGUAACGCUUAUAGGGAUUUACCACGCAGCUUCCCGAGGAGCCGUCGAUCUGACCGGCGCAGAGGUGGCCCUUUCUGAUGGGUACCGAGGUGCCGUAGGCCUGCAGGCACUCCUCCAGGUUGAGAAGCGGCACGCUGGCCUCCAGAAGAGCGGUAGAGAGCGAAGGCGAGGGACCGUAUCGGCCCCAACCCGAGGUCACGCAGUGCCCACCGCUGAGAUCUUGCCCGGGUCCAGGCAGACAGAUGAUCACCGACAUUCCAGAGGACAAGGACUCACCUAUGUCGUGCACGUAAUUAUUGAAUCUCUCGUGAAGAAUCACUUUCUCGACGGGCAAGCGCGCGGAUCCGCGUCCUCCUGAGUCCAAUUCCCAUUCGCCGACCACCGCCGUCCAUAGCGCGCCGAUGGGUAAAUUGAACAGUUCGCUAAUAAAUAAAU